rnacentral:rRNA from 1 species
UUGAGCGCUGAAGGUUGGUACUUGUACCGACUGGAUGAGCAGCGAACGGGUGAGUAACGCGUGGGGAAUCUGCCUUUGAGCGGGGGACAACAUUUGGAAACGAAUGCUAAUACCGCAUAAAAACUUUAAACACAAGUUUUAGUUUGAAAGAUGCAAUUGCAUCACUCAAAGAUGAUCCCGCGUUGUAUUAGCUAGUUGGUGAGGUAAAGGCUCACCAAGGCGAUGAUACAUAGCCGACCUGAGAGGGUGAUCGGCCACAUUGGGACUGAGACACGGCCCAAACUCCUACGGGAGGCAGCAGUAGGGAAUCUUCGGCAAUGGACGAAAGUCUGACCGAGCAACGCCGCGUGAGUGAAGAAGGUUUUCGGAUCGUAAAACUCUGUUGGUAGAGAAGAACGUUGGUGAGAGUGGAAAGCUCAUCAAGUGACGGUAACUACCCAGAAAGGGACGGCUAACUACGUGCCAGCAGCCGCGGUAAUACGUAGGUCCCGAGCGUUGUCCGGAUUUAUUGGGCGUAAAGCGAGCGCAGGUGGUUUAUUAAGUCUGGUGUAAAAGGCAGUGGCUCAACCAUUGUAUGCAUUGGAAACUGGUAGACUUGAGUGCAGGAGAGGAGAGUGGAAUUCCAUGUGUAGCGGUGAAAUGCGUAGAUAUAUGGAGGAA